GCCCCUCUUGUAAUUUUGAUAGAAUGUUGUAGAUGGUAUUCCGAAUCGAAUGAGAUCAAAAUCAUAAUUUUCGGUGCAUGAGAUCAGGUUUUGACGAAAAUGGCACUUGUUGAUCAGACUAGUAGUUAAAAUAGUUUUUA